rnacentral:rRNA from 1 species
UGGGGAAUUUUGGACAAUGGGGGCAACCCUGAUCCAGCCAUCCCGCGUAUGCGAUGAAGGCCUUCGGGUUGUAAAGCACUUUUGGCAGGGAAGAAACGGCGCGGGCUAAUAACCUGUGCUAAUGACGGUACCUGCAGAAUAAGCACCGGCUAACUACGUGCCAGCAGCCGCGGUAAUACGUAGGGUGCAAGCGUUAAUCGGAAUUACUGGGCGUAAAGCGUGCGCAGGCGGUUCGGAAAGAAAGGUGUGAAAUCCCAGGGCUUAACCUUGGAACUUCACUUUUAACUACCGAGCUAGAGUACGUCAGGGGGGGGUAGAAGUCCACGUGUAGCAGUGAAAUGCGUAGAGAUGUGGAGGAAUACCGAUGGCGAAGGCAGCCCCCUGGGAUGAUACUGACGCUCAUGCACGAAAGCGUGGGGAGCAAACA